rnacentral:rRNA from 1 species
UUGAUCCUGGCUCAGGAUUAACGCUGGCGGCAUGCCUAAUACAUGCAAGUCGAUCGGGUGCAGCAAUGCAUCAGAGGCGAACGGGUGAGUAACACGUAUCCAAUUUACCCCAUAGCGAGGGAUAACUAGUCGAAAGAUUAGCUAAUACCGCAUAACGAUUAAAAUAUCGCAUGAGAAUUAAUUUAAAGAUCCGUUUGGAUUACUAUGGGAUAAGGGUGCGGCAUAUCAGCUAGUUGGUGAGGUAACGGCCCACCAAGGCAAUGACGUGUAGUUAUGCUGAGAGGUAGAAUAACCACAAUGGAACUGAGACACGGUCCAUACUCCUACGGGAGGCAGCAGUAGGGAAUUUUUCACAAUGGACGAAAGUCUGAUGGAGCAAUGCCGCGUGAACGAUGAAGGUCUUUGUAGAUUGUAAAGUUCUUUUAUUUAGGAAGAAAAGCUAGUAAAGGAAAUGUUAUUAGUUUGACCGUACUAUUUGAAUAAGUAACGACUAACUAUGUGCCAGCAGUCGCGGUAAUACAUAGGUUGCAAGCGUUAUCCGGAUUUAUUGGGCGUAAAACAAGCGCAGGCGGAUUAGAAAGUCUGGUGUUAAAAUCAACUGCUUAACGGUUGAAUGCAUUGGAAACUUCUAGUCUAGAGUGUGGUAGAGAGUUCUGGAACUCCAUGUGGAGCGGUGGAAUGCGUAGAUAUAUGGAAGAACACCAGCUGCGAAGGCGAGAACUUAGGCCAUUACUGACGCUUAGGCUUGAAAGUGUGGGGAGCAAAUAGGAUUAGAUACCCUAGUAGUCCACACCGUAAACGAUGGAUGUUAAACGUCGGGGCGAUCACCUCGGUGUUGCAGUUAACACAUUAAACAUCCUGCCUGGGUAGUACAUUCGCAAGAAUGAAACUCAAACGGAAUUGACGGGGACCCGCACAAGUGGUGGAGCAUGUUGCUUAAUUCGACGGUACACGAAAAACCUUACCUAGACUUGACAUCCUUGGCAAAACUAUAGAAAUAUAGUCGAGGUUAACCGAGAGACAGGUGGUGCAUGGUUGUCGUCAGCUCGUGUCGUGAGAUGUUGGGUUAAGUCCCGCAACGAGCGCAACCCUUAUCGUUAGUUACUUUGUCUAACGAGACUGCCAACGCAAGUUGGAGGAAGGUGGGGAUGACGUCAAAUCAUCAUGCCCCUUAUGUCUAGGGCUGCAAACGUGCUACAAUGGCCAAUACAAACAGUUACCAAACCGUAAGGUGGAGUUAAUCUGCAAAGUUGGUCUCAGUUCGGAUUGAGGGCUGCAAUUCGCCCUCAUGAAGUCGGAAUCACUAGUAAUCGCGAAUCAGCUAUGUCGCGGUGAAUACGUUCUCGGGUCUUGUACACACCGCCCGUCAAACUACGAGAGUUGAUAGUGUCUAAAACCGUGUUGCUAACCGCAAGGAAGCGCAUGUCUAGGACAAGAUUAAUGAUUGGAGUUAAGUCGUAACAAGGUACCCCUACGAGAACGUGGGGGUGGAUCACCUCCUUUC